rnacentral:lncRNA from 1 species
AUGCAGGGAAUCCCUUUGCUACAGUUCUUAUGGGCAUCCACUGUAUCUAUUCUAGCAGUGCGGGCAACCUUCCUACGGACUCCCAAGGAAGGCCCCAGGUCCUAUGGACUAGCCUCAGUGCAUGGUGUUCAGCAAAUGCAUACACUCCCCCGAAGGGUCUGCAGCGGGCCGUCGGGAAUGGAGACCGCCUCCGUGGAAGUGGCUGCAUUUGCUGACGGCAUGCUCGCUCGCCUGAACGGGUCAGAUACGAUUGUUCUUAUUCACUGGUCAGGAACCUGUUUCAAAGGAGUUGUACCACACAAAGGUCGACGAGCAGCAGCGAUGCAAAGGGAGUUGUGGGGAAAUGAGAUGCAACGCUGUCUUAUUUAAAUGCUAGACAAUCCCUGGCGCACAUGCCUGCAGAGCAGCGAGGCCAGAGGCUAGACUAGGCUUCCUAGAAGCAAACCUGGGGAAAAGAGGCUGGGGCUGCGGUUCCCGGAGGAAAAGAAUCAAGUGGGUCCCACUGACCCUAAUUUUUCCAGCUAACAGGAAAGAGCUUUUGCUAGGCUGGGUGAACUGGAGCCAUUAGAAUAAUGCCCGACCCAAACCUGCCUGAACCCAAGGUGAACUUUCAUUGGAACUGGUCUAAGAAUUUGCUUCCCAGUAUUUUCCCUUCUGCGUCUCUGUGCUCCGGGCAGGACUGGAUCUGAAAUGGCUGGAGCUCUGGAAUGGCAGGCUGGCUUCAUGAGAUCGUCUGCAUGGGGUGUGGACAGCUCAGGUCAGGUCGCCAGAAGCACCCAAGCCCUGGAGUAUUUCUACAGCCUCAGCCCUGGGAGAUUUGCCCCUCGCUGUGCAUCUCACUUUCGUGGAGCGUUAGCUCUGUAUAAUACUAAUGCUGCGGCCCAGUCAGUGAGAGCGUCCCCCAGCACCAAGGAGAAUUAACAGCCUGGCCAGUUAGCACGGCCCCGAAGGCCAGUGCAUCCAGCCCAAGGCCCUGCCCGCAGCCCCCUCAGACAGAUGCCUGGUGGGGGGCAGAGAGGGGUUGGGGCGAGAACAUCACGCAGCUGGGACCGGCCUUUGUGCGGCUCUGGAGAAGCAGGCUCCUGGCCCCGCCGGGUUGCCUGCGGUGUAAAACCGGUGCCAGCAGGCGUGCCGCGGAUCUGUGAACAGCCCUGGCUGUGUGUGUGCCUGGGGCGCCCGAUGGACUGUGGCCACUGGCUCAAGCCUGUAACGUCUGCUCUAAACAUGUCAACUCUGCCAAUGCCUGUGCAGCCCCGUGUCUUUGUGUGGCGCCGGGGUGGGUGCUCUCUGCUCGGCUGGCGGCCUGUUCCCCCCCCGCUGGGAGGGGGGGAAA